UUGGAGUCGACUCGUGAUACUCGGGAGUCGACUCGAGUCUCAGACUUUGGUUCAGCAGACUUCUUAACUUAUCCAAAAUACUAUGAACCAAAUCUAGAGACACUUGGACAGGAUUUUCACUGAAACACUCAAUUGAAUUCAUUAGUAAUCACAAGAUAUACUCAAAUGCUUUGAGCUCAUCAAAAUCAAAUGGGAUUUUAAUCAAUCACUCCACAU
rnacentral:lncRNA from 1 species